GACGAACGCUGGCGGCGUGCUUAACACAUGCAAGUCGAACGGAAAGGCCCUGCAGUUGUGGGCUGCUCGAGUGGCGAACGGGUGAGUAACACGUGAGUAACCUGCCCUUGACUUUGGGAUAACUUCAGGAAACUGGGGCUAAUACCGGAUAGGAGCUCCUGCUGCAUGGUGGGGGUUGGAAAGUUUCGGCGGUCGGGGAUGGACUCGCGGCUUAUCAGCUUGUUGGUGGGGGAGUGGCUUACCAAGGCUUUGACGGGUAGCCGGCCUGUGAGGGUGACCAGCCACAUUGGGACUGAGAUACGGCCCAGACUCCUACGGGAGGCAGCAGUGGGGAAUAUUGCACAAUGGGCGGAAGCCUGAUGCAGCAACGCCGCGUGCGGGAUGACGGCCUUCGGGUUGUAAACCGCUUUCGCCUGUGACGAAGCGUGAGUGACGGUAAUGGGUAAAGAAGCACCGGCUAACUACGUG
rnacentral:rRNA from 1 species